rnacentral:rRNA from 1 species
UACGUAGGGGGCAAGCGUUGUCCGGAUUCAUUGGGCGUAAAGAGCGUGUAGGCGGCCAGGUAGGUCGGUUGUGAAAACUGGAGGCUCAACCUUCAGAGGUCGACCGAAACCAUCUGGCUAGAGUCCGGGAGAGGAGAGUGGAAUUCCUGGUGUAGCGGUGAAAUGCGCAGAUAUCAGGAAGAACACCAAUAGCGAAGGCAGCUCGCUGGGACGUUACUGACACUGAGGCGCGAAAGCGUGGGGAGCGAACAGG